rnacentral:lncRNA from 1 species
UGUGUGUGUGCAUUCUUGAAAGAUUUCAUCUGAAAGUGAAAAUUUCAAAUAUUAUUUAACUAGCACAUAGUGCAAUAUUACGCCUUUGAACUAAUUUAGUUGAGGAUACUUUUGAAGCUAGCUUAUCUUGUCUUUCAUCAUUUUGUGAGAUACUUAAUUAUAAAAUGUAUUUUGCCUUAUAAGAUGUCUUAGUAAUUAUAUCUUUUGGCACAUUUUAGGUAUACAGUACAGUUACAUUCAUCAUUGGGAUCGUGUACUUUUACAUGACACGUCACGGUAAUUACAUCUUUUUGAAGAUGAGAUCUUGCUGUGUAGUUCAGCUAGCCUUGAACUCACUAGGUAGCCCAGGUUGGUGUGUGUGAAUACCGCCUGCCUAGAAAGCACAAGGACCCGAGUUUGAUCCCUGGUACCAAAAACAAACCCAUACGAUACACAGUGAGUGCUUACAAACGUAAUCUAUUACGAUACCACAUCGCCACUGAUCCUCUUCGGAAUCCUCCCCGUGUCUUUGAACACACUCAUCCCAUCGUUCUGGCCACUUUUGGGAGCAGUUCUGGAGGUCGUCUUUGCUCAGGUCUUUAUGAAAUGUGAUUUUUAAAAUAUGAUGAACGUGGGGCCGGGGACUUAGCUCAGGGGCACUGUGCCUGCCUUGCAAGCUCAAGGUCCUGAGUUUGAUCCCCGGCACCCUCCUUCCCCGCAAAAAAGAGUGCAGCUGCCGAAUGCCAUCCAACGGAAAGGCAGGCUCAUAACACGACGCAGUCUUCAUCCACCCUGUUAGCCCGAUCUGGCACCGUGCGACACCUGGCUCUUCCCCAACGUCGAAAUGACCUUGAAAGAGACCGGCAUGAAUCCGUUUAGGACAUCGAGGCAUCCGUGACAGCGCCACUAGAGACACUCUUAGAAGACGACUCCAGAGCUGCUACAGAGUGGAAAGAACGGCAGGAAGAACGCGAUCAAAGCGAGAUGGGGAUUCAUGGCAGGGUAUCUGUUACUGUAACAAAUGGCAUGGAGAUCUGAAUCAGGGAGAAUGGCAGGGUACAGUGGUCCAGAGCUUCCAUGAGGGACUCAGGAGGGCUCCUGUGAUCAGAGACCAGAAACCACGAGGUCAAGGGGACCUGACAGCAAGCCAGGCAAGAUGUGGGUGGCAGCUUGGGCCAGGGUGUUGGUGGUGGUGUGUGAGCACCUGACGUGCCAUGCAGAUGUUCUGAAAGUUCCUCCUAGUGUUGCUGAUCCUCAGAAAUGCUCAUGAGCAUAGCAGUCUGAAGGUGGGCAUCUGGUGGCUGUUGUGUCCCUGAGUCACCUGGUGGGGACCCGAUGAGGCCGCUUGGGCUGCACUUGUCUGCUGGGAUGAGACGGACUGCAGCUGGGUGUCCUGGGACGGUGAGGUCACCGGGGUUAACGCCUCCUCUUGCCUCGCUCCUGUCUUAGGACCAAAGAUCCUGGGGCAUGCACACUACAGAGAUUUGUU